rnacentral:rRNA from 1 species
UACAGAGGUCUCAAGCGUUGUCCGGAAUUAUUGGGCGUAAAGAGCUUGUAGGCGGUUUGUCGCGUCUGCUGUGAAAUUUCGGGGCUCAACCCCGAACUUGCAGUGGGUACGGGCAGACUAGAGUGUGGUAGGGGAGACUGGAAUUCCUGGUGUAGCGGUGAAAUGCGCAGAUAUCAGGAGGAACACCGAUGGCGAAGGCAGGUCUCUGGGCAGUAACUGACGCUGAGGAGCGAAAGCGUGGGGAGCGAACAGG